rnacentral:rRNA from 1 species
GGACGGGUGGGUCGGUCGUGCCUCCGGUACGUACUGGUUCUACCAGUUCCUCCCUUCUGACGAACCACGAUGUCAUUAAUUUGGUGUCGUGGGGAAUCAGGACUGUUACUUUGAAAAAAUUAGAGUGUUUAAAGCAGGCUAAAGCUUGAAUAGAUUAGCAUGGAAUAACGAAAUAGGACGUUUGAUCUUAUUUUGUUGGUUUCUAAGAUCGACGUAAU